CUUUUCUUUACAAUAAAAUGGGGAUAUAACAGCUUUAAGCACAAUGAGAAAUGAGUCCAUCAUUAGUGAGAUCCAAGCCCAGCUAAAGCACAAGAAUGUCACAGUGGAUGUCAAAGCAAAUUCAGACCCUCAUAUUAGUCCUAUUCAGCUCUCAACUAUAGUCACAGUCGAGGAACUUGGUUUACCAGGCUUGAAAAACAUAAUGGCCAUUUCUUAUCCACAUCAAGCAUUUGGGAGG